UUUAUUUCUUUUGUGCUGUGUUUAGGAGCUCUGGGUUUCGUGGAGCUCUGCUUCAAUGUUUUUGUUCUCUGUCUCUUGGUUUUAGGAGGGUGCGUUGCGGCGGUGAGUGGCAGCCGUGCUGCUGUUGAACGUUGAAGACAUUCCCUAUUCCUUUCUAAUUUUGCUCUUCUUCUUGGUCAAGUUGUUGCCAACGUGGUGGCAAUGACGUCGUUGCAGUAGUCGAGGUUGCUCCUGUUCUUGGCGGAUUCUCUCCUCAAGUAGCUGAUUUUCAUUGGAUGGUGGC
rnacentral:lncRNA from 1 species